AUGUCAUGACGAGGGCACUUCUGAAGAUGUUCUUGAAUCUAUUCCAAGCUUCAUCAAAGGAUUUGGUUUCUCUUUGCCGAAAUAUGGAUAUGUCAUGCUUCAACUU
rnacentral:snoRNA from 1 species